rnacentral:rRNA from 1 species
CUCGAAUUUAAAAGAGCUAAAAGUUUAAAAUUUUUAUUGUAAAAUAACUAUAUUAAAUAAACUUUUAGUAAUGAAACGUUAUUCGUUUUUAAAUAUAUCUAGUUUUUUAAGAAAUAAAUUUAAUUUAAUUAUUAUUAAUAUUUUAAAUUAAAUAUUUAGUUUAAUAUUAAUAAUAUUUAAUAUUUUUAGGGAUGAGCUUAAAAAUAAAGCUUUAUUAAAAAAUUUAAUAAAUUAAAAUAAUUUAGGAUUAUAAAUUUUCAUAAUUUUAAGUAUGUUACAAUUUAUUUUUAUAUUAUUAUAAUUUUUAUUUUUUAUAAAUUUUUUAUUAAAAUAUAUUUAAAAAUAAUUAUUAAUUAGUAAUUAUGAUAAAAUUAGUAUAAUUUUUUAUAAAAAUAGAAUAAAUAUUUAGGUUUAUUAAAGGAACUCGGCAAAUUAUUUUUCACCUGUUUAUUAAAAACAUGUCCUUUUGUUAAAAAUUUAAGGUCUAGCCUGCCCACUGAUUUAUUUAAAUGGCCGCGGUAUUUUGACCGUGCUAAGGUAGCAUAAUCAUUAGUUUUUUAAUUGAAAGCUGGAAUGAAAGGUUGAAUGAAAAAAUAACUGUCUCUAUAAAAAUUUAUUAGAAUUUUAUUUUUAAGUUAAAAAGCUUAAAUAAGUUUAAAAGACGAGAAGACCCUAUAGAGUUUAAUAUAAUAUUUUUUUUAAUUAUUAAGAAUUAAAAUUUUAAUGAUUUUAUUAUAUUUAAUUGGGGUGAUUAAAAAAUUUAAUUAACUUUUUUUUUAUUUUAAUAUAAAUUAAUAAGUAUUUGAUCCAAAAUUUUUGAUUAUAAGAAUAAAUUACCUUAGGGAUAACAGCGUAAUUAUAUUGGAGAGUUCAAAUCGAUAAUAUAGAUUGCGACCUCGAUGUUGGAUUAAAAUUAAUUUUUGGUGUAGCAGCUAGAAGUUUAAGUCUGUUCGACUUUUAAAAUUUUACAUGAUCUGAGUUUAAACCGGUGUAAGCCAGGUUGGUUUCUAUCUUUAAAAUAUUAAUUUAUUUUAGUACGAAAGGACCAAAUAAA